GGCUCUGGCCAGGUCGUUCGGAAUGCGCCUGAUCUCAUCAGGUCUCAGAAGCUAAGCAGAGUUUGAGCCCAGACAGCGCCUGGAUGGGCCGUCACCGUGCACAAAAACCAGGCGCUGUCGGCU
rnacentral:rRNA from 1 species